CACGUAUGGGGCGAGCGUUGUUCGGAAUUAUUGGGCGUAAAGGGCGUGUAGGCGGUAAUGAAAGCCCGGUGUGAAAGGCUCAGGCUCAACCUGAGUAUGUCGCUGGGAACUGCAUAACUGGAGUCUUGGAGGGGAAGCUGGAAUUCCUGGUGUAGGGGUGAAAUCUGUAGAUAUCAGGAAGAACACCAAUAGCGAAGGCGAGCUUCUGGCCAAAGACUGACGCUGAGGCGCGAAAGCGUGGGGAGCGAACAGG
rnacentral:misc_RNA from 1 species